rnacentral:rRNA from 1 species
AACGAACGCUGGCGGCAGGCCUAAACAUGCAAGUCGAGCGCCCAGCAAUGGGGAGCGGCGGACGGGUGAGUAACACGUGGGAAUGUACCUUUCGGUGCGGAACAACUCAGGGGAAACUUGAGCUAAUGCCGCAUACGCCCUUACGGGGAAAGAUUUAUCGCCGAAAGAUCAGCCCGCGUUGGAUUAGCUUGUUGGUGAGGUAAUGGCUCACCAAGGCGACGAUCCAUAGCUGGUGAGAGAACGACCAGCCACACUGGGACUGAGACACGGCCCAGACUCCUACGGGAGGC